rnacentral:rRNA from 1 species
GAUGAACGCUGGCGGCGUGCCUAAUACAUGCAAGUCGAGCGAACGGACGAGAAGCUUGCUUCUCUGAUGUUAGCGGCGGACGGGUGAGUAACACGUGGAUAACCUACCUAUAAGACUGGGAUAACUUCGGGAAACCGUAGCUAAUACCGGAUAAUAUUUUGAACCGCAUGGUUCAAAAGUGAAAGACGGUCUUGCUGUCACUUAUAGAUGGAUCCGCGCUGCAUUAGCUAGUUGGUAAGGUAACGGCUUACCAAGGCAACGAUGCAUAGCCGACCUGAGAGGGGGAUAGGCCACACUGGAACUGAGACACGGUCCAGACUCCUACGGGAGGCAGCAGUAGGGAAUCUUCCGCAAUGGGCGAAAGCCUGACGGAGCAACGCCGCGUGAGUGAUGAAGGUCUUCGGAUCGUAAAACUCUGUUAUUAGGGAAGAACAUAUGUGUAAGUAACUGUGCACAUCUUGACGAUACCUAAUCAGAAAGCCACGGCUAACUACGUG